rnacentral:rRNA from 1 species
AGUGAACGCUGGCGGCAUGCCUAACACAUGCAAGUCGAACGGCAGCACAGCAGUAGCAAUACUGUGGGUGGCGAGCGGCGAACGGGUGAGUAAUACAUCGGAACGUAUCCUGUAAUGGGGGAUAACGUAGCGAAAGUUACGCUAAUACCGCAUAUUCUAUGCGUAGGAAAGCGGGGGACUCGCAAGGGCCUCGCGCGUUUGGAGCGGCCGAUGGCAGAUUAGGUAGUUGGUGGGGUAAAGGCUUACCAAGCCUGCGAUCUGUAGCUGGUCUGAGAGGACGACCAGCCACACUGGGACUGAGACACGGUCCAGACUCCUACGGGAGGCAGCAGUGGGGAAUUUUGGACAAUGGGCGCAAGCCUGAUCCAGCCAUGCCGCGUGAGUGAAGAAGGCCUCGGUUGUAAGCUCUUCAGCCGGAGAAACGACAUGGUUAAGUACCUCGUGUGGAGUGACGGUACCGGAACUAAGAAGCACCGGCUAACUACGUA